rnacentral:rRNA from 1 species
UACGUAGGGUGCAAGCGUUGUCCGGAAUUAUUGGGCGUAAAGAGCUCGUAGGCGGUUUGUUGCGUUGGCUGUGAAAUCCCGAGGCUCAACCUCGGGUCUGCAGUCGAUACGAGCAAACUAGAGUGUUGCAGGGGAGACUGGAAUUCCGUGGUGAUAGCGGUGAAAUGCGCAGAUAUCAGGAGGAACACCGGUGGCGAAGGCGGGUCUCUGGGCAACAACAUGACGCUGGAGGAGCGAAAGCGUGGGGAGCGAACAGG